rnacentral:lncRNA from 1 species
CCCUUUCGAUCAACUUCAACUGGGUACUUCAGGAGGUGUCCCCUCAUUUCUGAUAUGUCGUCCGAUGCAAAUUGUUUCCAGUUCAUCUCACCCAUGGACCUAACCCUCUUUACACAUUCCAGACUCUCUGGUUCCACGAAGCAGUCCUCAAUGGUUCCGGUAUGCUCUGCCCACAGGGACAUCCUGUAUCCAUAGAUCUACAAAACAAGUAUACGGGUGUGUAGUGAUUAGUCAGACACCAAAAUCUAUGGUCAGGUGGGUAGAAUUUCUGAUGAAAAUGAAAUAAUCUUAUUGCAUUCAGCAUAGCAACUGAAAAUGGUACUCAUCUUGUUCCCUUUCCCCUUACCAUUUACAUUUCACAUACCAUUUUUCCAGUGAGCCUAAACUGUAACCAAUUAUAUCAAUUAAAGUUUUGCAAUGACUACAUCCUAAAAAAUGGAUUUGUGCCUCAAAGUUCUACUGAAAACAACAUUCAAGUAGACAACAAAUUUUGUAUUUUUUACACUAAUGAAAACAAAUAUUUUGGAAUGGUCUCAUUUUCAUGAGAUCCUAAAAUAGCUCCUUUAAUGAAUGACAAAAGAAGUCAACCACGUUCUUUUGCCAGAGCUUACCU